GCCUGGCCUUACACGCAGUGCGGUUCCCAGCCAACUGGCAGCUCUCCACCACAAAUGACUGUUAUUCUGCUAUUUCCAGGUCCUUCCCCAACACCGGAGCUUGGUCCCCACCUAUAGAUACAGCACAGAGACACAAGGAUGCUAACACCACUGGAGCAACCUUCAGCAACUGGAGGAUGGGCAUCAUUUUCAAUGAUUAAGAAACAAAGCAAGGCCAUCCCAAGGUUCAAAUCCAGUGUCCUAAUGAAGCAGAGAUGCAGGUCUGUGUCCAUGGAAGUUGGAAAAUGGGAAGCCAAGAAGAACACUGAGAGGACCUCUAGACAGGGACAUCCAGGCAUGAGUUCUAGUCCUGCCUUCCUGAUCUCUGCUCUAGAAAUAUUGGCCAGCUCCAAAGAAACAGCAUGACCAAGGGAACUGGCACAAGAAAAAUUGCUCACAUCAUGGCAACCAGGAAGCAGGGAGAAAAGGAGACCAGGAGGGAGGUAUACCUUUCCAGGUCACAGCUCCUGUGACCCUGUUCUUCAAACCAGCCCCUGCUCCUCAUGGCAAAGCAAGAACCCAAUUGGUGCAGCCCAUCACUGUGUGCCCCUUAAUCAGUCCAACUGGUUAUGCCUACAAUGGAACUGGACCAAGUGAUGAAAACCGUGGCUGCUGAUGGAUUAAGGGCUCAAUGCAGGUACAAACUCUGGACACCAUAUUAAAAACAAACACAAGAAGACACUGAAAGAUGGAGAAAAGGGAGCCUGGCUAGGCACCUCAGAAGCUGAGGCAACUUCUCUAGGUUGUAUUUUGUUUGGGCCUUAUGAAUUGCAGAGUAAAUGAUGGAAAAGCCAGACAUCCACCUACAUCAUCAAGUGCAAACACAUAUACAAAAAGUCAUCUCAAAACUUUCUUUCCAGCCAAAGGAAAGGGAGUCCAGCAGACUAGCAUCUACUCUACAAGAGUCAAAUACCACAGCAAACACUGUAGCCUCACCCCAGCCAAAAAAAAAAACAGAGAAGAGAGCACAGACUUUUAUCCCCACUUGAUGGAACCAAGGCCCUCUCUGUUGCAGCCACAUCAGAGAAGGCCUAAUGGCCAGUGGACCCAGGUAAAAUGAAUUAUCUCCCAUAGUGUUACUGGAGACCAUAUAGGGAGCAAUUACUAGGCACCUCCCCCCACCCUGUCCCAGCAGAACAGCAGGGCCCUGAGAGCAAUGCUGCUUCCCCCUCACCCAGCAGUAACCAGGAGACUCUCUUGCAGGACACC